GAUGAACGCUGGCGGCGUGCCUAAUACAUGCCAGUCGAGCGAACAGACGAGGAGCUUGCUCCUCUGACGUUAGCGGCGGACGGGUGAGUAACACGUGGAUAACCUACCUAUAAGACUGGGAUAACUUCGGGAAACCGGAGCUAAUACCGGAUAAUAUAUUGAACCGCAUGGUUCAAUAGUGAAAGACGGUUUUGCUGUCACUUAUAGAUGGAUCCGCGCCGCAUUAGCUAGUUGGUAAGGUAACGGCUUACCAAGGCAACGAUGCGUAGCCGACCUGAGAGGGUGAUCGGCCACACUGGAACUGAGACACGGUCCAGACUCCUACGGGAGGCAGCAGUAGGGAAUCUUCCGCAAUGGGCGAAAGCCUGACGGAGCAACGCCGCGUGAGUGUUGAAGGUCUUCGGAUCGUAAAACUCUGUUAUUAGGGAAGAACAAAUGUGUAAGUAACUAUGCACGUCUUGACGGUACCUAAUCAGAAAGCCACGGCUAACUACGUG
rnacentral:rRNA from 1 species